rnacentral:rRNA from 1 species
AUUCCAGCUCCAAUAGCGUAUAUUAAAGUUGUUGUGGUUAAAAAGCUCGUAGUUGGAUUUCGGCGGGUAGUGGUUGGUUUGAAUUGAUUCAACACUGACUUUUUUACCCGUGUGUUUUGCCAGAAUCUUACGGGUGAUCUUUACCGAUUGUCCGUUGGAACUGGCAGGUUUACUUUGAAAAAAUUAGAGUGCUCAAAGCAAGCUUACUGCUUGAAUAGUUGCGCAUGGAAUAAUAGAAUAGGAAGUCGUUUCUAUUUUGUUGGUUUUCGGAAAUCGACUUAAUGAUUAAUAGGGAUAGUCGGGGGUAUUCGUAUUCAAACGACAGAGGUGAAAUUCUUGGACCGUUUGAAGACGAACUAAGGCGAAAGCAUUUGCCAAGAAUGUUUUCAUCG